rnacentral:rRNA from 1 species
AUUGAACGCUGGCGGCAUGCCUUACACAUGCAAGUCGAACGGCAGCACGGGAGCAAUCCUGGUGGCGAGUGGCGAACGGGUGAGUAAAGUAUCGGAACGUGCCCAGUCGUGGGGGAUAACGUAGCGAAAGUUACGCUAAUACCGCAUACGAUCUAUGGAUGAAAGCGGGGGAUCGCAAGACCUCGCGCGAUUGGAGCGGCCGAUAUCAGAUUAGGUAGUUGGUGGGGUAAAGGCUCACCAAGCCGACGAUCUGUAGCUGGUCUGAGAGGACGGCCAGCCACACUGGGACUGAGACACGGCCCAGACGCCGACGGGAGGCAGCAGUGGGGAAUUUUGGACAAUGGGCGAAAGCCUGAUCCAGCCAUGCCGCGUGCAGGAUGAAGGCCUUCGGGUUGUAAACUGCUUUUGUACGGAACGAAAAGGUUUGGGCUAAUAAGCUGAGCUCAUGACGGUACCGUAAGAAUAAGCACCGGCUAACUACGUGCCAGCCGCCGCAGUAA